rnacentral:lncRNA from 1 species
GCCAUCUGGGUAGGGGCUGAGUGGUUAGAGAGAGAGACCAUCUGGGUAGGGGCUGAGUGGUUAGAGAGAGAGAGACCAUCUGGGUAGGGGCUGAGUGGUUAGAGAGAGAGAGACCAUCUGGGUAGGGGCUGAGUGGUUAGAGAGAGAGAGAGAGACCAUCUGGGUAGGGGCUGAGUGGUUAGAGAGAGAGACCAUCUGGGUAGGGGCUGAGUGGUUAGAGAGAGAGACCAUCUGGGUAGGGGCUGAGUGGUUAGAGAGAGAGAGACCAUCUGGGUAGGGGCUGAGUGUGGUUAGAGAGAGAGAGACCAUCUGGGUAGGGGCUGAGUGGUUAGAGAGAGAGGCCAUCUGGGUAGGGGCUGAGUGUGGUUAGAGAGAGAGAGAGAGACCAUCUGGGUAGGGGCUGAGUGGUUAGAGAGAGAGACCAUCUGGGUAGGGGCUGAGUGGUUAGAGAGAGAGACCAUCUGGGUAGGGGCUGAGUGGUUAGAGAGAGAGAGACCAUCUGGGUAGGGGCUGAGUGGUUAGAGAGAGAGAGAGACCAUCUGGGUAGGGGCUGAGUGGUUAGAGAGAGAGAGACCAUCUGGGUAGGGGCUGAGUGGUUAGAGAGAGAGACCAUCUGGGUAGGGGCUGAGUGGUUAGAGAGAGAGAGACCAUCUG